UACAGAGGGUGCAAGCGUUAAUCGGAAUUACUGGGCGUAAAGCGUGCGUAGACGGUUAUGUAAGUCGGGUGUGAAAGCCCCGGGCUCAACCUGGGAAUUGCAUUCGAGACUGUGUGGCUAGGGUACGGAAGAGGGAAGCGGAAUUUCAGGUGUAGAGGUGAAAUUCGUAGAUAUCGGGAGGAACACCGGUGGCGAAGGCGGCGACCUGGGUCGAUACUGACGCUGAGGUGCGAAAGCGUGGGGAGCAAACAGG
rnacentral:rRNA from 1 species